AACGCGAAGAACCUUACCUACUCUUGACAUCCAGAGAACUUUCCAGAGAUGGAUUGGUGCCUUCGGGAACUCUGAGACAGGUGCUGCAUGGCUGUCGUCAGCUCGUGUUGUGAAAUGUUGGGUUAAGUCCCGCAACGAGCGCAACCCUUAUCCUUUGUUGCCAGCGGUCCGGCCGGGAACUCAAAGGAGACUGCCAGUGAUAAACUGGAGGAAGGUGGGGAUGACGUCAAGUCAUCAUGGCCCUUACGAGUAGGGCUACACACGUGCUACAAUGGCGCAUACAAAGAGAAGCGACCUCGCGAGAGCAAGCGGACCUCAUAAAGUGCGUCGUAGUCCGGAUUGGAGUCUGCAACUCGACUCCAUGAAGUCGGAAUCGCUAGUAAUCGUGGAUCAGAAUGCCACGGUGAAUACGUUCCCGGGCCUUGUACACACCG
rnacentral:rRNA from 1 species